AGGAGCGCUAAUACCGCAUACGUCCUACGGGAGAAAGCAGGGGAUCAGUAAUGACCUUGCGCUAAUAGAUGAGCCUAAGUCGGAUUAGCUAGUUGGUGGGGUAAAGGCCUACCAAGGCGACGAUCUGUAGCGGGUCUGAGAGGAUGAUCCGCCACACUGGGACUGAGACACGGCCCAGACUCCUACGGGAGGCAGCAGUGGGGAAUAUUGGACAAUGGGGGGAACCCCGAUCCAGCCAUGCCGCGUGUGUGAAGAAGGCCUUUUGGUUGUAAAGCACUUUAAGCGAGGAGGAGGCUCUUCCAGUUAAUACCUGGGAUGAGUGGACGUUACUCGCAGAAUAAGCACCGGCUAACUCUGUGCCAGCAGCCGCGGUAAUACAGAGGGUGCGAGCGUUAAUCGGAUUUACUGGGCGUAAAGCGUGCGUAGGCGGCUUCGUAAGUUGGAUGUGAAAUCCCCGAGCUUAACUUGGGAAUUGCAUUCAAAACUGUGAAGCUAGAGUAUGGGAGAGGAUGGUAGAAUUCCAGGUGUAGCGGUGAAAUGCGUAGAGAUCUGGAGGAAUACCGAUGGCGAAGGCAGCCAUCUGGCCUAAUACUGACGCUGAGGUACGAAAGCAUGGGGAGCAAACAGGAUUAGAUACCCUGGUAAUCCAUGCCGUAAACGAUGUCUACUAGCCGUUGGGGUCUUUGAGACUUUAGUGGCGCAGCUAACGCGAUAAGUAGACCGCCUGGGGAGUACGGUCGCAAGACUAAAACUCAAAUGAAUUGACGG
rnacentral:rRNA from 1 species